GACGAACGCUGGCGGCGUGCUUAACACAUGCAAGUCGAACGGAAAGGCCCUGCUUUUGUGGGGUGCUCGAGUGGCGAACGGGUGAGUAACACGUGAGUAACCUGCCCUUGACUUUGGGAUAACUUCAGGAAACUGGGGCUAAUACCGGAUAGGAGCUCCUGCUGCAUGGUGGGGGUUGGAAAGUUUCGGCGGUUGGGGAUGGACUCGCGGCUUAUCAGCUUGUUGGUGGGGUAGUGGCUUACCAAGGCUUUGACGGGUAGCCGGCCUGGGAGGGUGACCGGCCACAUUGGGACUGAGAGACGGACCAGACUCCUACGGGAGGCAGCAGUGGGGAAUAUUGCAGAAUGGGCGGAAGCCUGAUGCAGCAACGCCGCGUGCGGGAUGACGGCCUUCGGGUUGUAAACCGCUUUCGCCUGUGACGAAGCGUGAGUGACGGUAAUGGGUAAAGAAGCACCGGCUAACUACGUG
rnacentral:rRNA from 1 species